UACGAGGGGGGCAAGCGUUGUUCGGAAUUAUUGGGCGUAAAGGGUGCGUAGGCGGUCUGACAAGUCUGAUGUGAAAUCUAUGGGCUCAACCCAUAGUCUGCAUCGGAAACUGUCGGGCUUGAGUAUGGGAGAGGUGAGUGGAAUUUCCGGUGUAGCGGUGAAAUGCGUAGAUAUAGGAAGGAACACCAGUGGCGAAGGCGACCACCUGGACUGAUACUGACGCUGAGGUGCGAAAGCGUGGGGAGCAAACAGG
rnacentral:rRNA from 1 species